rnacentral:rRNA from 1 species
CACGUAGGGGACGAGCGUUGUCCGGAUUCAUUGGGCGUAAAGCGCGCGUAGGCGGCUCGGAAAGUCGGUCGUGAAAUGCCGGGGCUCAACCCCGGGACUGCGUCCGAUACUCUCGAGCUGGAGGCAGGUAGGGGAGAUCGGAAUUCCUGGUGUAGCGGUGAAAUGCGCAGAUAUCAGGAGGAACACCAAUGGCGAAGGCAGCUCUCUGGGACGGUACUGACGCUGAGACGCGAAAGCGUGGGGAGCGAACAGG